rnacentral:rRNA from 1 species
AGCGCAGACGGUUAUUUAAGUCUGAAGUGAAAGCCCUCAGCUCAACUGAGGAAUUGCUUUGGAAACUGGAUGACUUGAGUGCAGUAGAGGAAAGUGGAACUCCAUGUGUAGCGGUGAAAUGCGUAGAUAUAUGGAAGAACACCAGUGGCGAAGGCGGCUUUCUGGACUGUGUCUGACGCUGAGAUGCGAAAGCCAGGGUAGCGAACG